rnacentral:RNase_P_RNA from 1 species
AAAGUAGGUCGUCUUAUCGCUCUGUAAGGAGAGGAAAGUCCGGACACCAUAGAGCAGCAUAGCGGUUAACAGCCGUCGGCCGUGAGGUUAGGAAAAGUGCAACAGAAAGAAUGUACAGGUAAUGCUGUAGUGAAAUCAGGUAAACUCUAUGCGGUGCAAUGCCAUGUAUACCAGCGUUAUAGAUAGCUCGGUCGAUGUUGGAGGGUAGGCAGCUAAGAGAUUUUUGGUAACAAAAAUUCUAGAUAAAUGAUAAGAACUCAUUUUUUGAGUACAGAAUCCGGCUUAUAGACCUACUUUAUUU